rnacentral:rRNA from 1 species
UAAGAAUCUAGCUCAAAUUCUAGUAGUCGAGACUGAGAGGUUGAUCGACCACAGUGGGUCUGAAAAAACCACGGCGAAUUGCACAGCAGUGAGGAAUUUUGGUCAAUGGCCUAACGGCUGAACCAGCAACUUGGAAGAAUGUAUAACGACUCUCUCGUAUAAAGUUCUAGAUAAAAAAAUGAUAAUGACAACUAUUUAUCUAUAAGUCUUGUCUAAAUUACGUGCCAGCAGACGCGGUAAUACGUAGAAGACUAGUGUUAUUCAUCUUUAAUGGGUUUAAAGGGUACCUAGACGGAAAAUCAAGCCAAAUAAAGGGACUAAUAUUCUAGAGUUUUAUAAAAGAAGAUGGAAUUUUCGGAGUAGAGUUGAAAUUCAGUUAUACGUGAAGACUGGUAACGGCGAAGGCAAUCUUCUAUGUAAAAACUGACGUUGAGGGACGAAGCCUAGGGUAACGAUAAGGAUUAGAGACCCUAAUAGUCCUAGGAGAAAAUUAUGAAUGUCAUAAGCUAGAUUAUUUUAGUUUAUAAAUGAAAGUGUAAGCAUUCCACCUCAUGAGUAAAGCGGCAACGCUCAAAUUGAAAUCAUUAGACCGUUUCUGAAACCAGUAGUGAAGUAUGUUAUUUAAUUCGAUGAUCCGCGAAUAACCUUACCACAAUUUGAAUAUUUUACAAGUGCUGCACGGCUGUCUUUAGCUAAUGUCGUGAGAUUUGGUUAACUCCU